GGCAGCCGCGGCAGUCUGUGAGCCUGAGUGAAUUUGCAGGGAGUAGGCCGUCCACAAAGGCUAGAAAUAGACAUCCUUUAGCAAGCCGCACCCCCGCCCAGUGCCUAGGAUGAGCGCUAUGGGGUACUCGUGCUGUUUGGGGGAGUCAAACGUGAGCCAGACAAGAAGAUGGGCUAAUGCUCCCUGUUGCAGGCCUCCACAGAACAGCGUUGGAGCUAAACUGAAAGACCCCAGACCUGCUGUGUCCCUAGGCAAUCAAGAGACACAUGAUCUACAGAUGAAGCAGAUGGUAGAACUGAAACUCUUUGUGAAGAGUUGAGGAAAUCUGAAAGCAGUGCUCCGGGGAAUUGUUCAGUGAGAGAGAAAGUUCUGCAAGAAUUUGAAAACUAUAUGCCUUACCAACCUCAGAAGAUACCGAAGGUGGAAAGGAUCUUCUGAAAAAGACAUUGAGGAUGAUCCAAGAUGGCAUGGAACCAAAGAUCUAAGGAGUGGACCAGAGAUGGAACAACACCAAUAAGACACAGAGUGGACCAAAGAGAGCAUGGAAACGUGAGUCCGAAGAGUGGACAAAAGCCAGAGAGCAUCAGUGGUAGGGAGCGCUGCAGCUGAAUCUUCACAAAUAAUCUGGCAACAUGUUGUACUGUGGGUUUCAGAAUUCCCAUGUUUCUGUGAUUUCUGCCUUCUCAUUGUUUUCUUUUUCACUUGGCUUACAGCAGUUAUGAUGGGCCUGUCUUGCUAUUGCAGGUUGGGUGUUUAGGAAGCCUAAAACCAAUCCCAUUGUCCCACGAGUACUCUGAUCCACAGAAAUGACUCUAAAGCAGCAUGACAGGAAUCAUGACCUCAUAUUCAGGAACCCCGCCUGCCCCUGCAUCCUAUAAUGUUUAAACAGUUUGGGAUGGGAUGGGUUUAAAAUUAAAUUUUCAAAUAC